rnacentral:rRNA from 1 species
UAGGGAAUCUUCGCAAUGGGGGCAACCCUGACCGAGCAACGCCGCGUGAGUGAAGAAGGUUUUCGGAUCGUAAAGCUCUGUUGUAAGAGAAGAACGUGUGUGAGAGUGGAAAGUUCACACAGUGACGGUAACUUACCAGAAAGGGACGGCUAACUACGUGCCAGCAGCCGCGGUAAUACGUAGGUCCCGAGCGUUGUCCGGAUUUAUUGGGCGUAAAGCGAGCGCAGGCGGUUUAAUAAGUCUGAAGUUAAAGGCAGUGGCUUAACCAUUGUUCGCUUUGGAAACUGUUAAACUUGAGUGCAGAAGGGGAGAGUGGAAUUCCAUGUGUAGCGGUGAAAUGCGUAGAUAUAUGGAGGAACACCGGUGGCGAAAGCGGCUCUCUGGUCUGUAACUGACGCUGAGGCUCGAAAGCGUGGGGAGCAAACAGG